AAAUUGAAGAGUUUGAUCAUGGCUCAGAUUGAACGCUGGCGGCAGGCCUAACACAUGCAAGUCGAACGGUAACAGGGAUCAGCUUGCUGAUUCGCUGACGAGUGGCGGAC
rnacentral:rRNA from 1 species